CGCCACCCCAAGCUGUUCAAGACGCUGGGCGUGAAGCCACCCAAGGGGAUCCUGCUCUACGGCCCGCCCGGCACCGGCAAGACGCUGCUCGCGCGCGCCAUCGCGGCCGAGUCGGGCGCCAACUUCAUCGUCGUCAACGGGCCGGAGAUC
rnacentral:rRNA from 1 species